rnacentral:rRNA from 2 species
UUAAGCGACUAAGCGUACACGGUGGAUGCCCUGGCAGUCAGAGGCGAUGAAGGACGUGCUAAUCUGCGAUAAGCGUCGGUAAGGUGAUAUGAACCGUUAUAACCGGCGAUUUCCGAAUGGGGAAACCCAGUGUGAUUCGUCACACUAUCAUUAACUGAAUCCAUAGGUUAAUGAGGCGAACCGGGGGAACUGAAACAUCUAAGUACCCCGAGGAAAAGAAAUCAACCGAGAUUCCCCCAGUAGCGGCGAGCGAACGGGGAGCAGCCCAGAGCCUGAAUCAGUGUGUGUGUUAGUGGAAGUGUCUGGAAAGGCGCGCGAUACAGGGUGACAGCCCCGUACACAAAAAUGCACAUACUGUGAGCUCGAUGAGUAGGGCGGGACACGUGGUAUCCUGUCUGAAUAUGGGGGGACCAUCCUCCAAGGCUAAAUACUCCUGACUGACCGAUAGUGAACCAGUACCGUGAGGGAAAGGCGAAAAGAACCCCGGCGAGGGGAGUGAAAAAGAACCUGAAACCGUGUACGUACAAGCAGUGGGAGCACGCUUCGGCGUGUGACUGCGUACCUUUUGUAUAAUGGGUCAGCGACUUAUAUUCUGUAGCAAGGUUAACCGAAUAGGGGAGCCGAAGGGAAACCGAGUCUUAACUGGGCGUUAAGUUGCAGGGUAUAGACCCGAAACCCGGUGAUCUAGCCAUGGGCAGGUUGAAGGUUGGGUAACACUAACUGGAGGACCGAACCGACUAAUGUUGAAAAAUUAGCGGAUGACUUGUGGCUGGGGGUGAAAGGCCAAUCAAACCGGGAGAUAGCUGGUUCUCCCCGAAAGCUAUUUAGGUAGCGCCUCGUGAAUUCAUCUCCGGGGGUAGAGCACUGUUUCGGCAAGGGGGUCAUCCCGACUUACCAACCCGAUGCAAACUGCGAAUACCGGAGAAUGUUAUCACGGGAGACACACGGCGGGUGCUAACGUCCGUCGUGAAGAGGGAAACAACCCAGACCGCCAGCUAAGGUCCCAAAGUCAUGGUUAAGUGGGAAACGAUGUGGGAAGGCCCAGACAGCCAGGAUGUUGGCUUAGAAGCAGCCAUCAUUUAAAGAAAGCGUAAUAGCUCACUGGUCGAGUCGGCCUGCGCGGAAGAUGUAACGGGGCUAAACCAUGCACCGAAGCUGCGGCAGCGACACUAUGUGUUGUUGGGUAGGGGAGCGUUCUGUAAGCCUGCGAAGGUGUACUGUGAGGUAUGCUGGAGGUAUCAGAAGUGCGAAUGCUGACAUAAGUAACGAUAAAGCGGGUGAAAAGCCCGCUCGCCGGAAGACCAAGGGUUCCUGUCCAACGUUAAUCGGGGCAGGGUGAGUCGACCCCUAAGGCGAGGCCGAAAGGCGUAGUCGAUGGGAAACAGGUUAAUAUUCCUGUACUUGGUGUUACUGCGAAGGGGGGACGGAGAAGGCUAUGUUGGCCGGGCGACGGUUGUCCCGGUUUAAGCGUGUAGGCUGGUUUUCCAGGCAAAUCCGGAAAAUCAAGGCUGAGGCGUGAUGACGAGGCACUACGGUGCUGAAGCAACAAAUGCCCUGCUUCCAGGAAAAGCCUCUAAGCAUCAGGUAACAUCAAAUCGUACCCCAAACCGACACAGGUGGUCAGGUAGAGAAUACCAAGGCGCUUGAGAGAACUCGGGUGAAGGAACUAGGCAAAAUGGUGCCGUAACUUCGGGAGAAGGCACGCUGAUAUGUAGGUGAAGCGACUUGCUCGUGGAGCUGAAAUCAGUCGAAGAUACCAGCUGGCUGCAACUGUUUAUUAAAAACACAGCACUGUGCAAACACGAAAGUGGACGUAUACGGUGUGACGCCUGCCCGGUGCCGGAAGGUUAAUUGAUGGGGUUAGCGGUAACGCGAAGCUCUUGAUCGAAGCCCCGGUAAACGGCGGCCGUAACUAUAACGGUCCUAAGGUAGCGAAAUUCCUUGUCGGGUAAGUUCCGACCUGCACGAAUGGCGUAAUGAUGGCCAGGCUGUCUCCACCCGAGACUCAGUGAAAUUGAACUCGCUGUGAAGAUGCAGUGUACCCGCGGCAAGACGGAAAGACCCCGUGAACCUUUACUAUAGCUUGACACUGAACAUUGAGCCUUGAUGUGUAGGAUAGGUGGGAGGCUUUGAAGUGUGGACGCCAGUCUGCAUGGAGCCGACCUUGAAAUACCACCCUUUAAUGUUUGAUGUUCUAACGUUGGCCCGUAAUCGGGGUUGCGGACAGUGUCUGGUGGGUAGUUUGACUGGGGCGGUCUCCUCCUAAAGAGUAACGGAGGAGCACGAAGGUUGGCUAAUCCUGGUCGGACAUCAGGAGGUUAGUGCAAUGGCAUAAGCCAGCUUGACUGCGAGCGUGACGGCGCGAGCAGGUGCGAAAGCAGGUCAUAGUGAUCCGGUGGUUCUGAAUGGAAGGGCCAUCGCUCAACGGAUAAAAGGUACUCCGGGGAUAACAGGCUGAUACCGCCCAAGAGUUCAUAUCGACGGCGGUGUUUGGCACCUCGAUGUCGGCUCAUCACAUCCUGGGGCUGAAGUAGGUCCCAAGGGUAUGGCUGUUCGCCAUUUAAAGUGGUACGCGAGCUGGGUUUAGAACGUCGUGAGACAGUUCGGUCCCUAUCUGCCGUGGGCGCUGGAGAACUGAGGGGGGCUGCUCCUAGUACGAGAGGACCGGAGUGGACGCAUCACUGGUGUUCGGGUUGUCAUGCCAAUGGCACUGCCCGGUAGCUAAAUGCGGAAGAGAUAAGUGCUGAAAGCAUCUAAGCACGAAACUUGCCCCGAGAUGAGUUCUCCCUGACUCUUUGAGGGUCCUGAAGGAACGUUGAAGACGACGACGUUGAUAGGCCGGGUGUGUAAGCGCAGCGAUGCGUUGAGCUAACCGGUACUAAUGAACCGUGAGGCUUAACCUU